rnacentral:rRNA from 1 species
CUCGCAUCGAUGAAGAACGCAGCGAAUUGCGAUACGUAUCAUGACUUGCAGACGUGAAUCAUCAAUCUUUGAACGCACAUUGCGCCUUGAGGUAUUCCUCAAGGCAUGCCUGUUUGAGCGUCGGCUCCCUUCAAACCCCCGGGUUUGGUGUUGCCUUCCGAAAUAUCACAGUUGUUGCAAUACGUUACUUCAACUUUAUUCUUUCGCCCUCAAAUCAGGUAGGACUACCCGCUGAACUUAAGCAUAUCAAUAAGCGGAGGAAAAGAAACCAACAGGGAUUGCCUCAGUAACGGCGAGUGAAGCGGCAAAAGCUCAAAUUUGAAAUCCUUCGGGAGUUGUAAUUUGUAGGUUGGGAGACCCCGCGGCUAGUGGCACCAAGUCCCUUGGAACAGGGCGCCUUAGAGGGUGAGAGCCCCGUAGGUACCACAAUACCGUCUUGUGUCUCCUCUCCAAAGAGUCGAGUUGUUUGGGAAUGCAGCUCAAAGUGGGUGGUAAAUUCCAUCUAAAGCUAAAUACCGGCGAGAGACCGAUAGCGAACAAGUACAGUGAUGGAAAGAUGAAAAGCACUUUGAAAAGAGAGUGAAACAGUACGUGAAAUUGUUGAAAGGGAAGGGCUUGCAAGCAGACACGGCCUUCGUGCCGGGCCAGCAUCGGUUGCUAGGGGUGGAUAAGGAACAAGGAAUGUAGCUCCUCGGAGUAUUAUAGCCUUGCGCGAUACACCCACUGGCGACCGAGGCCUGCGGUAUUCUUUACCUAGGAUGCUGGCGUAAUGGUUGCAAGCCGCCCGUCUUGAAACACGGACCAAGGAGUCUAACGUCUAUGCGAGUGUUUGGGUGGAUAAA